ACGCUCUGCUGGUGAACGACCAUUUUGAUCCUGACAACUGCCCGUCAAAGAAAACCACAGCGCGCCAUCCCGGGCCCAUGCACUUGCUUUUCUCCCCCCUGCCAUCAUCAUUAUCGAGAGGGAUAUGAUGAUCGUUUUAUUAAUUUUUAUUUAUUUAUUUAAAGAAAAACCAUUUUAGCCAAAAAGUUAAAACUAUAAAGAAAUGAAACGAAUCGUUUCACAUCUUUGAACUUUCGUCGGCAUAUGUACAACAGCAUAUGCAUAUGACGCUAUUGCCUAGAAAAUGUGACAAAUGGGAAAACAUGAAUUUUCCAAUUUUUAUUGUUUCACUGGAGCGUCUCAUCCAUCGUGAAAGAUCCGUGACGUUAAGAUCCCCACCCAGCAGCAGCAGUCGAGGGGUGUGUGGCGCAAUAAAACAUUCGAUCGAUGUGCCAUCGCAUUUCCCUCCCGUCAUAUUUUUUCCCACCGAUUGUUUCUUUGUUUUUUUUUUGUUUCCAGAGAAAAAGAAGAGACGAAUUGUAAAAGACAAAGUUGGCAAAAUAAAAGGAUAAAUAAAUAAACAAAUAAAUAAUAACCGAGCGCUAGAGGAAGGGGGAAGGGAUCCACCCCCCCCCCCCCCAAAAAAAGGGCGUGGAACCCGCGUUCGUACUGUUAUUGAUCUAAACACGAAACAAACACACACACACACAGUCUGGCGUAUGUUACACAAUUGGCAGUUGAAUUGUUUCCACCAUUAUUUAUUUUUUAUAAAUCUUGUUUCAAAUUUCCCGCCCUAUCGAUCGGCUUCAAAAUGUCUGAAUUAUUCCAAGAAAAAGUUGCGUCUAGAAAACUUAGAUAAGAUGAAUUGUCAACUAAAGAAGCCAAAGAAGUAAUAGCACAGAGUCUAUUCAAACUUACUGUUAGUGUAAACUAUACACACUGAAAUUAUAAAUAUCAAACUAAACUGACCUAAACUAAACUAAAUAAACUUAAUUUAACCUAACCUAACACACAACACACAUCACACAAGAAGAUACAAAAACACAGCUAAGGAAUCUGUAAAAGUGAUUCCGCUCAAAUCUUCAAAUCUGGAGUUAGGAAAAAGAGUUGGAGCUACUUGUGUUACGCUACAAUAAUUUGAAAAGCAAACAUGAAAAGGAUGUCUGCGAAAUGGAAGAAAUAAACAAGAGGCUAAAUGAAAAGAUUAAAGAAACCUUCCGCAUAUUUGCAUAAUCUUUGACCGAUUUAAAAUGGACGUUACUUUCAAAACAAAAAAAGGGAACCUAUGUACAAAAGAACACCGUGAAGAUGUUUUUUACGAGUCCGAGAUGCCGGACCAACCCCAAAGUAUGGAAAAAGAAUCUGAAAAAGCUCCAACGGUCAACCAUACGCAUAAGGAAUCUGUAAAGGUCAUUCCACUCCAAAAAACAAAGCUCGAGUUGGAGAAAGAGUUGGAAUCUCUCAUCUUACGCUACACCAGUCUGAAAACCAAACAUGAAGAGGAGCUCUGUGAAAUGGAAGAUAUCAACAAAAGCUUAAGGAUCUGCUCAAAUAUGAAAAAGAUUUAGAUAAAAGAUUUGGGGAGCUAAAUAACUGAAUUAAUUGAACUGAAGUAAAAUGAUGUUCUUUGAAAGUAAGCUUACUGACAUUUUAGAAUACAAAAGUUGAAAUUAAACAGCUCACCAAAUCAAAUCAGCUAAUCCAAAUGAGGGAAACACGGAAAAAAACAAAAAAACAGUCUUCUUUAUCUAUGCCCAUGGUACAAACUCAAGUUUUCCUAACACCUGGCAACGCCGAAGGGGGAUGAGCAACAUUUUUGCAAAAAGCUUAAAGGAACCCGUCCCCCUCCCGCAAAUUUGAAUAUUUCUCGUUCGAAAUUUAUCACGAACCAAUUUUUAAAAGCAAAAAUGGCAACUUAUUCAAGAAAGAGGAUGUGGUAGAUUAUUACUAUGAAUCUGAAGUUCCUGAUCAGCCAUUCCAGCCAUCAGCCAAACAAGAUCAAGUGAUAGCGGAAAAAGUUGAAUCAGCAAAUCCACCCAUGAAAUCGGUCAAAGUAUUUC
rnacentral:lncRNA from 1 species